rnacentral:rRNA from 1 species
GGCCAUGGCGGCGUGCUUACCAUGCAGUCGAACGAUGAUCUCCAGCUUGCUGGGGGGAUUAGUGGCGAACGGGUGAGUAACACGUGAGUAACCUGCCCUUGACUCUGGGAUAAGCCUGGGAAACUGGGUCUAAUACCGGAUACGACCGCUCCACGCAUGUGGUGGUGGUGGAAAGCUUUUGCGGUUUUGGAUGGACUCGCGGCCUAUCAGCUUGUUGGUGGGGUAAUGGCCUACCAAGGCGACGACGGGUAGCCGGCCUGAGAGGGUGACCGGCCACACUGGGACUGAGACACGGCCCAGACUCCUACGGGAGGCAGCAGUGGGGAAUAUUGCACAAUGGGCGCAAGCCUGAUGCAGCGACGCCGCGUGAGGGAUGACGGCCUUCGGGUUGUAAACCUCUUUCAGUAGGGAAGAAGCGUAAGUGACGGUACCUGCAGAAGAAGCGCCGGCUAACUACGUGCCAGCAGCCGCGGUAAUACGUAGGGCGCAAGCGUUAUCCGGAAUUAUUGGGCGUAAAGAGCUCGUAGGCGGUUUGUCGCGUCUGCUGUGAAAGACCGGGGCUCAACUCCGGUUCUGCAGUGGGUACGGGCAGACUAGAGUGAUGUAGGGGAGACUGGAAUUCCUGGUGUAGCGGUGAAAUGCGCAGAUAUCAGGAGGAACACCGAUGGCGAAGGCAGGUCUCUGGGCAUUAACUGACGCUGAGGAGCGAAAGCAUGGGGAGCGAACAGGAUUAGAUACCCUGGUAGUCCAUGCCGUAAACGUUGGGCACUAGGUGUGGGGGACAUUCCACGUUUUCCGCGCCGUAGCUAACGCAUUAAGUGCCCCGCCUGGGGAGUACGGCCGCAAGGCUAAAACUCAAAGGAAUUGACGGGGGCCCGCACAAGCGGCGGAGCAUGCGGAUUAAUUCGAUGCAACGCGAAGAACCUUACCAAGGCUUGACAUGAACCGGUAACGCCUGGAAACAGGUGCCCCGCUUGCGGUCGGUUUACAGGUGGUGCAUGGUUGUCGUCAGCUCGUGUCGUGAGA